rnacentral:siRNA from 1 species
CAUCCGCUUGUUCAUUUUAUGU